rnacentral:rRNA from 1 species
CCUACGGGUGGCUGCAGUGGGGAAUAUUGCACAAUGGGCGCAAGCCUGAUGCAGCCAUGCCGCGUGUGUGAAGAAGGCCUUCGGGUUGUAAAGCACUUUCAGCGGGGAGGAAGGCGUUAAGGUUAAUAACCUUGUCGAUUGACGUUACCCGCAGAAGAAGCACCGGCUAACUCCGUGCCAAGCAGCCGCGGUAAUACGGAGGGUGCAAGCGUUAAUCGGAAUUACUGGGCGUAAAGCGCACGCAGGCGGUCUGUCAAGUCGGAUGUGAAAUCCCCGGGCUCAACCUGGGAACUGCAUUCGAAACUGGCAGGCUAGAGUCUUGUAGAGGGGGGUAGAAUUCCAGGUGUAGCGGUGAAAUGCGUAGAGAUCUGGAGGAAUACCGGUGGCGAAGGCGGCCCCCUGGACAAAGACUGACGCUCAGGUGCGAAAGCGUGGGGAGCAAACAGGAUUAGAUACCCCGGUAGUC